rnacentral:rRNA from 1 species
CCCGCGGUAAUACGGAGGGGUGCGAGCGUUAAUCGGAAUUACUGGGCGUAAAGCGCAUGCAGGUGGAUGAUUAAGUCAGAUGUGAAAAGCCCGGGGCUCAACCUCGGAAUUGCAUUUGAACUGGUCAUCUAGAGUACUGUAGAGGGGGGUAGAAUUUCAGGUGUAGCGGUGAAAUGCGUAGAGAUCUGAAGGAAUACCGGUGGCGAAGGCGGCCCCCUGGACAGAUACUGACACUCAGAUGCGAAAGCGUGGGGAGCAAACAGGAUUAGAUACCCUGGUAGUCCACGCCGUAAACGAUGUCUACUUGGAGGUUGUGGCCUUGAGCCGUGGCUUUCGGAGCUAACGCGUUAAGUAGACCGCCUGGGGAGUACGGUCGCAAGAUUAAAACUCAAAUGAAUUGACGGGGGCCCGCACAAGCGGUGGAGCAUGUGGUUUAAUUCGAUGCAACGCGAAGAACCUUACCUACUCUUGACAUCCAGAGAACUUUCCAGAGAUGGAUUGGUGCCUUCGGGAACUCUGAGACAGGUGCUGCAUGGCUGUCGUCAGCUCGUGUUGUGAAAUGUUGGGUUAAGUCCCGCAACGAGCGCAACCCUUAUCCUUGUUUGCCAGCGAGUAAUGUCGGGAACUCCAGGGAGACUGCCGGUGAUAAACCGGAGGAAGGUGGGGACGACGUCAAGUCAUCAUGGCCCUUACGAGUAGGGCUACACACGUGCUACAAUGGCGCAUACAGAGGGCAGCAAGCUAGCGAUAGUGAGCGAAUCCCAAAAAGUGCGUCGUAGUCCGGAUUGGAGUCUGCAACUCGACUCCAUGAAGUCGGAAUCGCUAGUAAUCGUGGAUCAGAAUGCCACGGUGAAUACGUUCCCGGGCCUUGUACACACCGCCCGUCACACCAUGGGAGUGGGCUGCAAAAGAAGUAGGUAGUUUAACCUUCGGGAGAACGCUUACCACU